UAAUUUACUUCUUUAUUAUGUAUAGAUGGAUACAAAUUGAGUAUUGAUCACCAUACAUUUAAGAGUCAAAAGACCAGUCAGAUAUCAAAACUAUAAACCAAAAUUAUUAAGUUUAGAUUUAAAAUUAUUUUCAAAUUUAAACUUGUACCAAGAUGUUGGUUUAUGAGUGUACAUAAUACAAAAGUUUAAUCAAUUUUGACAAACAGUUUAGAUGUUUUCUUUCUAUUUAGAUCUUAUUUAAAAAUGGUAUGUUGAGUAUUUAUAUUCUCCUCAAUAGUCGAUGGAUAAGUCGUCUUUAUAAAAAUGUCCGACUGCUAAAAGGCAGAUUUUCACAGGAAGUGAUUUUCACUUAAAAACUGUUGAUUUAAACUAAAUUCUCUAACAAAAUGUACAUCAUCAAAUUUAUUUAGUUUUUUUAAAAACUCAAAUAAGUAUAUUUUACUCCAAACAGUUUUAUUUCAGAUUUAAAUACAUAACUGCCACAAAGUUAAGUAGUUAGAUUAAUUAUAUUUUACUUAACAGUUAAAAUCUUCUUGAUCCCAGAAAUGUUUUUACAGCAUCGGUUAGAUGAUUGGAUGGUUGAUGUUAAUUCAUCCAUAUAUAUUCUCAUUUUCAUGUUGACAACCACUAUCAUGCUGGAAUCUGAUCCACUUUCAGCUAAAGAAACACGUUAUGUCACUAGAAUGAAAGUACAACUUACUUCUCAAGGAAAACUGUCACAAUCAGAGAUGGAAGAGGUUUUAGCAGAGUACCUCAAAGC